GACGAACGCUGGCGGCGUGCUUAACACAUGCAAGUCGAACGGAAAGGCCCUGCUUUUGUGGGGUGCUCGAGUGCCGAACGGGUGAGUAACACGUGAGUAACCUGCCCUUGACUUUGGGAUAACUUCAGGAAACUGGGGCUAAUACCGGAUAGGAGCUCCUGCUGCAUGGUGGGGGUUGGAAAGUUUCGGCGGUUGGGGAUGGACUCGCGGCUUAUCAGCUUGUUGGUGGGGUAGUGGCUUACCAAGGCUUUGACGGGUAGCCGGCCUGAGAGGGUGACCGGCCACAUUGGGACUGAGAUACGGCCCAGACUCCUACGGGAGGCAGCUGUGGGGAAUAUUGCACAAUGGGCGAAAGCCUGAUGCAGCAACGCCGCGUGCGGGAUGACGGCCUUCGGGUUGUAAACCGCUUUCGCCUGUGACGAAGCGUGAGUGACGGUAAUGGGUAAAGAAGCACCGGCUAACUACGUG
rnacentral:rRNA from 1 species